GUUAACAAGACAGACGCGCUGAGCCUUCUCUCAACAUUUGGGUCUCUGGCGAACAUUGCACAAGCGUCCAAGGAGGAUCUCUCCCUCUGCCCAGGCAUCGGGCCCCAGAAGGCCAAGAGGCUCUUUGACACCCUCCACGAGCCCUUUCUGAAGAUCCCCAAAUGAGCGGAGCACUUCCCCUACAGCACUGCCAGCAGCACAGACAAGCAGGAAUAAACAACCCCCUUUGCCCAGCAGGCCACGUGUCCCUGCCAGCACGCCGUAUGCUGUCUGCCAGGAAGCCAGGGCCUUGGGGGACACUCAGCAACUGUUUCUGCGAGUCUGGACUUUGACCAUAAAACAUGCUGU